GGCCUCAUCGGCCGGAAGGGAUUCCUUCCGGUCAAUGAGGCUGUUCCACCUCAUCAAUCAGAAGGAAUCCCUUCUGGUUGAUGAGGUU
rnacentral:miRNA from 1 species